AAAUGUCUAGCGAGUGGCGGUGAAAACAUAAUGCUCUGUCAGGUUUAAAAAUAACAUACCACCUACAAUAAACCCUAUGCAUAGUUUUCAUGUGACAUCACAUACUUACAGGAACGCCCACCUGGAGGGCAAUACAAGGCUUUCCUCCACUGACCACAAGUUAUUUUUACAAGGUUUGUAUUAAGUAGUAAUAUGUUAUGACAGUGGUAUUAAAAUGCCAAAUUCAGUAUGCAAUUUGCAAACUUCAUACAGGCAAAUUCACAUUCCGGGCUCAACUAUUUGCUCAAACAUCACAAUUGCAGUGCUUUACCGGGGGAGCUACCAAGCAAGUUUACUAUGUCAGAAAAGCCAUACGUAUGGAGCUGGUUAUGUGAUGCAAAAAUCAAAAUGUAUUAGUUUGCAAAUCACGAAGAAUCAAGAAUCUAAAUGUGAUUCUAAUUGUUAAAUAGGCUAAAAAUAAACACCAUUCAUCAGUUACUACCUACCAUGCCAAGAAAAGUCUUUAUUUGAUUUCUAGAAGCUGAAAAAAAAUAAUUGUGAACUUGAUCCUGUUUUGACCUGCCUAAACCCAGUCACUCAUUCACCCAUGCAUGCGCCUCUCUGGCAUAAUAGAUUAAACAAUUAAAAGCACACUCUACACACAAACAUGCUCGCACACACAAUGCAGCUGAGUGAUGUGGCAACGUUAGCAUGUCCCUAUCAGCUCCAGCACAGAUGUGUGAAUCCACUGCCAGCAUUGGCAUUCCAACCGAAGCCACUUGUGAACACCAAAACAUGUCUGUUGUCCAAAUAUGGAAUUGUUGAAUAAUGUGUUUUGUCAAGGACAAAGAGCAAAUCGACAGAAACAGAACACAAAUCAACAGAUACUUGCAUGCACAAGCAAGCAAACAGAUGUAGAGGGAUCAAGACAGCGCUCCUCUGCAGUGGCGUACACCAACGGAAAGAACACGGAGAGGAGAGGAGCCACUCGAAAUGCAGUCGCUGGUGAAGAAUACAAUGAGUUGAGCAAGACUGGUAACAUGCACAGACAUCUAGAUUAAUAUCACAGCUAAUGGCCCCAAAAUUAUAAAAGAAUGUGAUACAAUAUCAUGAGAAAAUGAGUUCCAGGGUAUGAUGCCUUUAUGUGUCUAUUGUUCAUUCUUUGUUCUAUCAUUCUGUGUGUCUGUCAUUCAUUCUGUCUGUUGUUCAUUCUGUGUUCUAUCAUUCCCUCUGUCUAUCAUACAUCGUGCUGUCAAUCAUUCUGUCUAGUAUUCUGUCUGUAGAACUGUCUAUCGUUCGUUCUCUAUCAUUUGUUCUGUGUUCUGUUGUUCUGUCUGUCUAUAUAUCAUUCUGUCUACCAUUUGUUCUCUCUGUAUAUUGUGCUGUCUGUCAUUUUAUCGUCCAGCCUAUCGUUUUAUCAUUUGUUCUGUCAUUUGUUCUUUGGUUUUACCAUUUCUUUCAUUCUAUCAUUUCUUCUUUCAUUCUGUAUAUCUUUAUCUUCUUUCAUUCUCUCAUUUGCUCUGUCAUUAUUCUAUCAUUUAGUUCAUUUCUGUUUUUCUGUCUAUCAUUUUGUCUGUUGUUCCUUAUAUUGUUCUGUCUGUCUAGUUAGAAUUAUAGCUAUCGUUCUAUUUAUCUAUAGCAUAGAGAUGUGUUUUUCAAAGUUGUUUUAGCUUGAAACAGCAUCUUAACAUUUCAGGGCGUUAAAAAUUAAGUUUAAAUAAAUUUAGUUAAAAUCAUUAAUUGAAUUAAAGC
ensembl:lncRNA